GAAAGGAAAUGUAUUCUGCUGUGUAGGAGUCACUCACCAGGCAACAAAGCACUCCAAAGGACUAUUUCUCUGGGAUGUUCUCUCUCACCUAGUCCUCCGCUGAGAAAAUGAAAACUACUUUAAAAUGAUCACCCCUGACACGGGUGGGGAAGAUGGUAACAGGUAAAGCUGAAGAUACACAAAGCCCAGGAUGCUGUUAAAGGAGUUAUCGGUGUGGGAUGGUGGGUAGCCCUGCCUCCCAACCACCACAGGCAGAGCCAGUCCUGUGAACCUCACUGGUGACUCAGCUGCAGAAUAGCAUUCAUCAUCUCUGUGUUCUAAGCAAACUCUGUAAAAGAGUCAUUGGACCACAAAAGAGACAUGACCCAUGGUUGAGAACUUCUUCAACAAACCUAAAAAACAAACUCUUCACAGGAAGUGUUACAAAGGCCCCACCUCUCUAUGAACCAGUUAACUUGUAUGAAUACAGUUGAGAUAGUCUGCAAAGAAGUUGAGUCAUUUGUCUUAAA